AACGCACAUUGCGCCCGCCAGCACUCUGGCGGGCAUGCCUGUUCGAGCGUCAUUUCAACCCUCGAGCCCCCCCGGGGGCCCGGCGUUGGGGGCCGGCCCCGGCCGCCCCCGAAAUGCAGUGGCGACCUCGCCGCAGCCUCCCCUGCGUAGUAGCACACACCUCGCACCGGAGCGCGGAGACGGUCACGCCGUAAAACGCACCAGCUUUCAAGAGUUGACCUCGGAUCAGGUAGGAAUACCCGCUGAACUUAA
rnacentral:misc_RNA from 1 species